UACGGAGGGUGCAAGCGUUAUCCGGAUUCACUGGGUUUAAAGGGUGCGUAGGUGGGUUGGUAAGUCAGUGGUGAAAUCCCCGAGCUUAACUUGGGAACUGCCAUUGAUACUAUCAGUCUUGAAUACCGUGGAGGUCAGCGGAAUAUGUCAUGUAGCGGUGAAAUGCUUAGAUAUGACAUAGAACACCGAUUGCGAAGGCAGCUCGCUAAACUGACAUUGACGCUGAGGCACGAAAGCGUGGGGAUCAAACAGG
rnacentral:rRNA from 1 species